ensembl:lncRNA
GGAGCGCGAUGUUUGCGGAGUCGGUUUGUUUCCAUUUCCAGUUGAAACAUUGUAACUCACGCGGCACCACUUGUAUCAACUCUCUCUCUCUCACACACACGCAGUUCCUACAUCCAGCCUCCACUAACACGAUUCUGCAGCGAAACAAUAACAACAAUGCAUAUAACAGCGACAAUAAUAAAAACUCACCCAUAUCCGAGGCUCCGAUGACCGAACGCGUCUUCUGGGCUCCGAUCCCCGUUAUUUGAAAUCCAUGUAUCUACAGUGACAGCAACACUGACAGCAACACUGACACUGUCAUCAUCGUCACCAUCAUCACCAGCACCAUCUGGAAGGACAUCCUCCGACAGAUCUGUCACAAUCAACGAGCUUUUCUCAAAAAAAAAAAAUUAAUAAAUAUAAUUUAAAAAAAAGAGUGGGAAAAGCGGGAAAAAUGGCGUCUGUUGUCGGGCUUCUGAAUUUAAUCACGGGGGAGGGGGCAAAAAUCACGUUUGAUUUGGUGAUGAGUGCGAAUGCGGGCAGGUCCCCGAGAGGAGGUGCGCGUCCCGGUCCAGGUGCUCCAGCCCAGGUGGUUCCGCACCGCGCAGUCGGAGUUACUGAGCGCGCACUCACUCCAUCCCCAUGUCGCCGCGUUUCUGAUGAGUCCUGCAGCAGUUUUCGAUUGGCGCUGUUUAUCCCGUGAGUCCUGUGGAUCUGUCUGGCAGAAUCUAAUCACACCCAGCAAAUUCAUCACUGCACCCCCAUUUAGGGAAAAGACACUGGAAAAGAGGAGUAUCCGUCCGUCUCCAGGGCCGCUGAGCGCGUCUCUCCUGUAGCGAGACUAAGCCGCGCGCUCUUCCUCGAGCCAGCGUUCACCAUCGGCGCUGCUGGAAAUGUUUCUCAU